AUUGGAUGUUGGAAGUAAUUGCGAAUGAAUUUAACUUUGUUUAUGUUUGAAAUCUAGGUAUGUACCUUGAUAUGUAAUGUUGAAAUGUAUUGCCAACUUGCAGCUUGUGUUUUUGUAUCUUGGAAUGGUUCAGCAACACGGGUGAUAAUCCCAUGUAGUAUCAGGAUCUGCAAUUAUAUGGCCUGCAAUUGGUAACUCACGCUUUUUGGGAUUAGAGUGCAAAUCAUGUGGUAAGUUUCAUAUCAAACUAAAUACAAGCUUGAGACUGGUAGUGCACAAGUACCUUGAGGGAAAAAUGCAAAGAACUUUGGAAAAAGGAUUAAAAGAGUUUGAAAUUGUUGAAUGUGAAGCAAACACUGAAUAACACCAAACAGAUUGUUGCAAUGGUUUAAACUUUAGUUGUAAUGCAUCAAUGUAUAGCUGUUGAAGUUUACCAAUGCUGUGAUUCUGAUUGCAGUACCAUCAUGAUGUGCAUCUGGAAAUACUGAUAAUUGCAUAUGGUAUACACACUUAUGUGAUGUCAAUGUUUUAUCGUCUUCCAUAUGUGCUCCAUGCUAUGCAAUGCAAUUGUGUGUAAACGAAUGUUGGUAUAGUAUUGUUAGCAUAUUCAAUGCUUCAUUUUUAUUGGUUUGCAUCCUGAUGGUGUAA
rnacentral:rRNA from 1 species